AGGGACACCACUUGCCACCUCUGUCCAGCUUGAAAAUUUACCAUUAAUGACAACUCUGUACUCUGUUUUUAAGUCAAUGCUCUACCCAAGAACAAGCAUUUUCAUCUAGACCGAUUUCCUUGAGUUUGAACACUAAUCUAUUGUGUGGAAAUGUAUCAAAUGCCUUGGAAAAAUCCAAAUAGAUCACAUCCACGGCAACACCCUGAUCUAUACUUCUACUUACUUCUUCGUAGAAUGCAAUCAAGUUAGUUUGACAUGACCUGUGCUUCAUAAAACCAUGCUGAUUUUUGCUGAUAACCAUGUUCUUCUCAAGGAAUUCUUGAAUAUUAUCCCUUAAUAACCUUUCAAAUAUUUUCCCAGCCACAGAAGUUAAAGCGGCACUGUCAUGCCAAACUUACCUUUCCUCAAUCUCUUCCUCUUCUCCCCCUCUCUCAGGAUCUGUUCUUCUUUUCUUCCUGUCUUCUUUAGUUUUCUUUAAAAUCAUAAGACAAAGUAGGGACUCUUUGCCUUAUGGAGGAUUCCUCCGCUUGACCAGCUCUGACCAGCGGAGGAGCACAGUGUGCUUCAUUUCCGCUGGUCAGAGCAAUUUUCCCAUGAUCCUCACCUUUCCUCUGUGUUCCCGCGAUGCUUCCUGUCAUUUUACACGAAACUGCCGAAUUGCG